CUACCACAGCAUGGCUUUUGCCAAGUGGUGCCAUGUCUGCACCUGGGAUCCGAACCGGUGAACCCUGGGCUGCUGAGAAGCGGAACAUGGGCACUUAACUGCUGCGCCACUGGGCCGUCCCCAUUCCUCUAUUUUAUAUGUGAGCCGCCAUCAUAGCAUGGCCACUGAUAGAUUCCAGAGAUAUAUUGAUGAACAAAACAGAGCCUAAUGCUCAGAGACCUUGCAUUCUGGUGGAGAGAGACAAACACACCAAUUUGAAGAUUUCAAGCAGAGGAGUGACAUGGUCUGACUUAGAAUCUACAGGAAUCACUCUGAUUGUUAAGAACAGACUGUAGAAGGUGGAGAUCAGCUGAGAGUCUCUUGCAGUAAUCCAGCUGAGGGGUGAUGAUGGCUUGGACGGGGCUAGCAGUGGAGGUGGUAAGAAAUGGUCAGAGUCUGUGUAUGUCUGAAGGAGAGCCAAUGUUUCCUGUGGAAUGUGUGGGUAUCUUCUGUGUGCCCCUCUGGAUUCAUUCUCCAGCUCGCCCCACCCUGCUCUGUGCCCUGCAAGGCUGGCCUAUAUGAACUGCAUCAAGAGUCUCUUUUGCCCUCCUGGGUUCAGCCAAAGGAGUCCCAGCAAGAGAUCUGAGGGAAGGAAGUAUGAGGUUGGGAUAUUUGUCUUCGACUCCCUCCCUGUUGGUUUGGCUGAGCCCUCCACCCACAGCCCCCCAGCUCUAAUCAGGCAUCCACUCCAGAAAAGCUCCUCCUCUGGGUUGGAUUAUGGCUCUCUCCCUUUGCCCCUCAGACCUAGGUGGUAACAGCUCCCUGCUCCCACCAGCCCCAGAGUACUGCACUAUAACUGGUUGCUUUUCCUAAACCCUGCCAAUAAACGUUUGGAUAGUCCCUUCAUUAAACUCUCCUCAGAUCACCCAAUUUGAGUGUGCCACCUGUUUCCUGCAGGGACCUGACUGAUAGACUGGACACAAGUUAUGAAUGAAAGUGGAGUUAAGGGUGGCUCCUUUGGUUAAGUGAAAUGAAUAUGAUAAACCUCAACCAAAUUGGAGUCAGAAAAAGCCCCUAAAGGGAACUCUCAGGCCUCUACACUUGCAACCUCAACAGGAAGUAGAAUUACCUUACUACUGAAGGAAGAUUUCUCUCUGCACUGGUAACAGCUCAGCCAAUGAGAAACAUCACAGCUCAGCCAAUGAGAAACACCACAGCCCAGCCAAUGAGAAACAUCACAGUCCAGCCAAUGAGGAACGAUGCAGCCCAGCCAAUGAGAAACAUUACAGCUCAGCCAAUGAGGAACACCAUAGUCCAACCAAUGAGAAACAUCACAGCUCAGCCAAUGAGAAACACCACAGCCCAGCCAAUGAGAAACAUCACAGUCCAACCAAUGAGGAACGAUGCAGCCCAGCCAAUGAGAAACAUCACAGCUCAGCCAAUGAGAAGCCAUUGCCGUCCUGAACGUUACUUUCCCCCAAUGGACUUUUGUUUAGAACAGCCCCUCCCUAUUUCCCCUUUUUCUCCAUAACAGGAAGUUCCCCUUCUUUGUUCUCCACGUUUGCCUAUGGUUAACCAUAGCAUGCACAUCCUAAAUUGCAAAUUUUCUGGCUAUUCCUGAGUAAACUCAUUUUGAGGGUAAAAUAACAGGUGUGUUUGCUUUUUAAGUUGACAUAAAUGGUGUCAGAAAGUGGGAUCCAAAGGAGAUGACCCCUGAGAGAUGGUGACCCCCAGAAUGGAGCAAGGUAUCCACAUUGAAUCUUUUGUGCUCAUUGCUUCUGUGAGUGGCUGCCCACUUUGGGUUUGGUAAGUCUCCUCUCAGAUUCUAAGCUCCACUCUUUUUGUGUUCUGAGCUCUCUGACAUUCUUUGGGAUUGGGAGAGGCUUUGUCCUGUCAGAGGACUUUGUCCUCCCAGUUGAAAACUCU
ensembl:lncRNA